rnacentral:rRNA from 1 species
UGAGCAACCUGCCCUUAGCUCUGGGAUAACCCCGGGAAACUGGAGCUAAUACCGAAUAAGCCCCUCGGGGGAAAGAUUUAUCGCCGAAGGAUCGGCCCGCGUCGGAUUAGCUAGUUGGUAGGGUAAAGGCCUACCAAGGCGACGAUCAGUAGCUGGUCUGAGAGGAUGAUCAGCCACACUGGGACUGAGACACGGCCCAGACUCCUACGGGAGGCAG